UUAGAAAUAGUACCUCCUUCAGAUUGAUGUGAAACACUAUUGCCAUCAUCAUCAUCAGCUGAUGCAACAUUAUCCUCUUCAUCAAUAUCUGAACCUUUGGUCCUCCUAACCUCAGAAAUCAUCCUUCUGUGUUCAUCACACCUGACGAUCUUGAAAUCUUCUUGUGGCAGAAUCUCUAGCUCAAACAGCUCUUUCCUCAGCUCCAAAUCCUCCUUGUCGCCAUCUUCAUACACCACAUUGUGUAGCCUCUUCCUCCUGUGGAAACUUUUGAUCCGUCCAGU
rnacentral:lncRNA from 1 species